rnacentral:rRNA from 1 species
GAUGAACGCUGGCGGCGUGCCUAAUACAUGCAAGUCGAGCGAACGGACGAGAAGCUUGCUUCUCUGAUGUUAGCGGCGGACGGGUGAGUAACACGUGGAUAACCUACCUAUAAGACUGGGAUAACUUCGGGAAACCGGUGCUAAUACCGGAUGAUAUUUUGAACCGCAUGGUUCAAAAGUGAAAGACGGUCUUGCUGUCACUUAUAGAUGGAUCCGCGCUGCAUUAGCUAGUUGGUAAGGUAAUGGCUUACCAAGGCAACGAUGCAUAGCCGACCUGAGAGGGUGAUCGGCCACACUGGAACUGAGACACGGUCCAGACUCCUACGGGAGGCAGCAGUAGGGAAUCUUCCGCAAUGGGCGAAAGCCUGACGGAGCAACGCCGCGUGAGUGAUGAAGGUCUUCGGAUCGUAAAACUCUGUUAUUAGGGAAGAACAUAUGUGUAAGUAACUGUGCACAUCUUGACGGUACCUAAUCAGAAAGCCACGGCUAACUACGUG